CUACGGGAGGCAGCAGUCGGGAAUUUUGGGCAAUGGGCGAAAGCCUGAUCCAGCCAUUCCGCGUGCAGGAUGAAGGCCCUCGGGUUGUAAACUGCUUUUGUACAGAACGAAAAAGCUCCGGCUAAUACCUGGAGUCCAUGACGGUACUGUAAGAAUAAGCACCGGCUAACUACGUGCCAGCAGCCGCGGUAAUACGUAGGGUGCAAGCGUUAAUCGGAAUUACUGGGCGUAAAGCGUGCGCAGGCGGUUUUGUAAGACAGAGGUGAAAUCCCCGGGCUCAACCUGGGAACUGCCUUUGUGACUGCAAGGCUGGAGUGCGGCAGAGGGGAAUGGAAUUCCGCGUGUAGCAGUGAAAUGCGUAGAUAUGCGGAGGAACACCGAUGGCGAAGGCAAUCCCCUGGGCCUGCACUGACGCUCAUGCACGAAAGCGUGGGGAGCAAACAGGAUUAGAUACCCCUGUAGUCC
rnacentral:rRNA from 1 species